rnacentral:rRNA from 1 species
UACGUAGGGUGCGAGCGUUGUCCGGAAUUAUUGGGCGUAAAGAGCUUGUAGGCGGUUUGUCGCGUCUGCUGUGACAAUCCGGGGCUCAACCCCGGACUUGCAGUGGGUACGGGCAGACUAGAGUGUGGUAGGGGAGACUGGAAUUCCUGGUGUAGCGGUGAAAUGCGCAGAUAUCAGGAGGAACACCGAUGGCGAAGGCAGGUCUCUGGGCCACUACUGACGCUGAGAAGCGAAAGCAUGGGGAGCGAACAGG